rnacentral:rRNA from 1 species
AUGAUUUUGGAUCCGACUGAGUGGCGAACUGGUGAGUAACACGUGGGUAACCUGCCCAGAAGAAGGGGGUAACACCUGGAAACAGGUGCUAAUACCGUAUAACAACAAAAACCGCAUGGCUUUUGUUUGAAAGGUGGCUUCGGCUAUCACUUCUGGAUGGUUCCGCGGCGCAUUAGCUAGUUGGUGAGAUAAUAGCUCACCAAGGCGAUGAUACGUAGCAGACCUGAGAGGGUAAUCUGCCACAAUGGGACUGAGACACGGCCCAUACUCC